rnacentral:rRNA from 1 species
GACGAACGCUGGCGGCGUGCUUAACACAUGCAAGUCGAACGGUGAAGCGCCUUCCUUUUUGGUGGGUGUGGAUGAGUGGCGAACGGGUGAGUAACACGUGAGUAACCUGCUCCCUUCUUCUGGAUAACCGCAUGCAAGUGUGGCUAAUACGGGAUAUUCUGGGUCUGUCGCAUGAUGGGUCUGGGAAAGAUAUUGUUUCGGUGGGGGAUGGGCUCGCGGCCUAUCAGCUUGUUGGUGGGGUGAUGGCCUACCAAGGCGGUGACGGGUAGCCGGCCUGAGAGGGUGGACGGUCACACAGGGACUGAGACGCGGCCCAGACUCCUACGGGAGGCAGCAGUGGGGAAUAUUGCACAAUGGGCGCAAGCCUGAUGCAGCGACGCCGCGUGAGGGAUGGAGGCCUUCGGGUUGUGAACCUCUUUCGCCAGUGAAGCAGGCCUGCCUCGUUUGUGGGUGGGUUGACGGUAGCUGGAUAAGAAGCGCCGGCUAACUACGUG